AACAUCGCGCACCUGCGGGAACCUGCGGAAGGAUCAUUAAUGAUUGGUGGCUGUUGCUGACUAGUGUUUCUAGUAUGUGCACGCCACACCUUCAAUCCCACUUACACCUGCGCACCUUCUGUAAUAGAUCUAUGUGGAUACGGAGAUAUGAAAGUUUGCGCUCUCGUACUCUGUUGAAGCAGUCUACUACGUUUUUUUACACACACACAAUAGUCAUUGAAUGUAUUUUUUAUUCUUAUG
rnacentral:misc_RNA from 1 species